GAUGAACGCUGGCGGCGUGCCUAAUACAUGCAAGUCGAGCGAACAGACGAGGAGCUUGCUCCUUUGAUGUUAGCGGCGGACGGGUGAGUAACACGUAGGUAACCUACCUAUAAGACUGGGAUAACUUCGGGAAACCGGAGCUAAUACCGGAUAAUAUUUCGAACCGCAUGGUUCGAUAGUGAAAGAUGGCUUUGCUAUCACUUAUAGAUGGACCUGCGCCGUAUUAGCUAGUUGGUAAGGUAACGGCUUACCAAGGCAACGAUACGUAGCCGACCUGAGAGGGGGAUCGGCCACACUGGAACUGAGACACGGUCCAGACUCCUACGGGAGGCAGCAGUAGGGAAUCUUCCGCAAUGGGCGAAAGCCUGACGGAGCAACGCCGCGUGAGUGAUGAAGGUCUUCGGAUCGUAAAACUCUGUUAUUAGGGAAGAACAAACGUGUAAGUAACUGUGCACGUCUUGACGGUACCUAAUCAGAAAGCCACGGCUAACUACGUGCCAGCAGCCGCGGUAAAAC
rnacentral:rRNA from 1 species